UACGGGGGGGGCAAGCGUUGUUCGGAAUUACUGGGCGUAAAGGGCUCGUAGGCGGCCAACUAAGUCAAACGUGAAAUCCCUCGGCUUAACCGGGGAACUGCGCUUGAUACUGGAUGGCUUGAGAUUGGGAGAGGGAUGCGGAAUUCCAGGUGUAGCGGUGAAAUGCGUAGAUAUCUGGAGGAACACCGGUGGCGAAGGCGGGUCUCUGGACAGUUCCUGACGCUGAGGCACGAAGGCCAGGGGAGCAAACGGG
rnacentral:rRNA from 1 species